UACGGGGGGGGCAAGCGUUGUUCGGAAUUACUGGGCGUAAAGGGUCUGUAGGUGGCCAACUAAGUCAGACGUGAAAUCCCUCAGCUUAACUGGGGAACUGCGUCUGAGACUGGAUGGCUCGAGUGCAGGAGAGGAAUGCGGAAUUCCAGGUGUAGCGGUGAAAUGCGUAGAUAUCCGGAGGAACACCGGUGGCGAAGGCGGCUUCCUGGACCGACACUGACGCUGAGGCGCGAAAGCUAGGGGAGCAAACGGG
rnacentral:rRNA from 1 species